rnacentral:rRNA from 1 species
CACGUAGGGGGCGAGCGUUGUCCGGAUUUAUUGGGCGUAAAGAGCUCGUAGGCGGCUCAGUAAGUCGGGUGUGAAAUUUCAGGGCUCAACCCUGAAAAGCCACCCGAUACUGCUGUGGCUAGAGUCCGGUAGGGGAGCGUGGAAUUCCUGGUGUAGCGGUGAAAUGCGCAGAUAUCAGGAGGAACACCAGCGGCGAAGGCGGCGCUCUGGGCCGGAACUGACGCUGAGGAGCGAAAGCGUGGGGAGCGAACAGG